rnacentral:rRNA from 1 species
AGAUUGAACGCUGGCGGCAGGCCUAACACAUGCAAGUCGAGCGGCAGCACGGGUACUUGUACCUGGUGGCGAGCGGCGGACGGGUGAGUAAUGCCUAGGAAUCUGCCUGGUAGUGGGGGGAUAACGCUCGGAAACGGACGCUAAUACCGCAUACGUCCUACGGGAGAAGCAGGGGACCUUCGGGCCUUGCGCUAUCAGAUGAGCCUAGGUCGAUUAGCUAGUUGGUGAGGUAAUGGCUCACCAAGGCGACGAUCCGUAAUGGUCUGAGAGGAUGAUCAGUCACACUGGAACUGAGUACACGGUCCAGACUCCGUACGGGAGCAGCAGGUGGGAAUAGUGGACAGUGGGACAAGCUGAUCCAGCCAGUCGCCGUCGUUGUCGUAGAAGGUAGGUCUUACGG